CAACAGACCGCGCGAUCGCUCGCAUCGCCGACGCGAAGCGAGAGGGGGAGAGAGAGAAAGAGAGAGAGCGAGAGAGAACGAGUGAAAGGAAGAGAGUGAGAGAGAGAGAGAGAGAGAGAGACGAAAAAAGUGCGCGAGUGUGGCGUGUGCAUACGCGCGCGAAAGGAAGCGAAAGAGAAAGAUCAAAAUAAGAGGGAAAGGCACAUCGAGGGAGAACGAGAGGAGAGAAAGAGAGGAGGAGAGAGAAAGGAAGAGCGAAGACUACGAUUCGUCUUGGUCGUCGUUGCCGUCAUCGUCGUCGUCGUCAUCGUCGUCGUGCCGCUCGGUCUCGCCUGAACAAAGGAAGGUUCUUCUCUCCCUCGGCUCUCCGCGUCGAGGGUCGUUUCCGAUCGACGAACCGUCGGGAUCCUUCCUCGGGUAUCUUCGGCACGGCUCGUGCGCGUCGGGCGCGCACGAAGCGGUCAGUCACGUAGCAGCGGCCGAGACGUGAGGAACAAAGGACGGCGGCAGGAUCUGCGCGCGCGAGAGAGGGAGACGAGCGCAGUGCGGGAUAACAAAACGAGCGUUGUGCUCAACACGGCGGUCGUGCGCGUUACUCCCGGCGACAUUGUUGACACUCGCGAUCGCGAGGAGCGAGCGGCGUAAACCCGACGGUCUAUCGAGAUAUCUCUCUUAAAUCGUGAGAGAAAGAGGAACUCUUCAUUCGGCGCGGCGAGUUUCGCGACAGAGAAGAGAAGAGAGGAGUGGAGUCCCGCGAGAGAUUCGCGCGAGCUCGAUUCGUUAAUCUGUGCAUUGUGCGUUGUUUUCUGCUUUUUUUAUACUUUUCUAUCCUUCGACGAUAUCCCAGCGCGACGAUUCCAGAAUAAGAGGGAGCGAGAGGAAGAAGGAAAGAAAGAAAGGAGCAGCAGCGGUAGCAUACCUGCCUGUCGGACAUCCCUCGUAUUCGAAAGGGACGUGAUUUGUGAGUAAAGGAAAGAAAAGAAGAGGACUGAUAUACGAGCGAGUAUUGAGAGGACAGCGGUGGAAGGAAGAGGAAGAAAGAGGGAACGAGACCCGGAUUUUCUGGCCUGCCUGCUUGCUCGCUUGCUUGCCUGCCUGCCUGCCUGCCCGUUUGCCUGAUUGCCUGCUUGCCUGCGCGACGAACCGGCGACCUAACCUAACGACAACGACGGCCGAGAGAAGUGCGCGCGAGAAUCGGAGAGAAAGAGAGAAAAUCUCGUUGUGUGAGGGUCGGAGGAGAAGUAGAAGUCGAAAGGACGAAAGUGAAAAGGUAAAAUCGGCUCUCCGGAGCGUUCUCUGCUACUCCACCUCGUCUUUUGUCUUAACGUCGUGGAUUUUCGUGUGACAUGUGCCGCGGAGUGUACCGCGAUUGAAGGGAGAACUCGAACGGAAAGCAUCAACGUUCAUUUCGCAGCGCACGGAUUAUCCUCGUAUUUACGGUGAGUAUUGUGGUGUCCCGGCAGCGUACCGUGGAGAAGUCAUAAAUUUUGCCAGUACGAGAUUACCAAGCACACACACGCACAUUAUAUCUUGAGGUAACAUAUAGGCUUUUACGCUACUUGUCAGUACGAACUCGUUUUUUAUAACUUUGCAUCAUAAUCUCGAAGAAUACGCCACAAUUUCUCAGAGAGCAACCUGAGAAAGCUUUAUAAACGCUAGUUUCUGUACAAUGUAAUAAUAUUUAUAUCAUGAGACAUCUCUUAUUAGAGAAAAUGAUUUCUGCUAUGUUUUUUUCUCUUGCAAUUCAAUAUUUUUCUUUUAUUUUGAAAAUACAUCUGAUUGUGAAAAAUAUUUUAAGAAAGAAAAUGUGUUUCAAAGAUAGGAAGACAGGAUUAUUACAUUUUUAAUGUCGUCGCAAUUAUAAAACGAAUCAGUAAUAACUAAAUAAUAUUUUGUUACGCAACACAUACUUUGUUUCUAAUAUACGAAAAAUUUGUAUAUAUAUAAAAUCCUGCAAUUAUGCAAGAGAAAAAUUUUAUGGAAGAAGUUCCCAAUCGAAUGUGGAACGUUUGAAAAAUUUUAUGA
rnacentral:misc_RNA from 1 species